CCCUUAGAUGUUCUGGGCUGCACGCGCGCUACACUGACGCACGCAACAGGUGCCUGCUCCGAGAGGACUGGGUAAUCAUUUGAGUGUGCGUCGUGAUGGGGAUAGAAUAUUGUAAUUAUUACUCUUCAACGAGGAAUUCCUAGUAAGCGCCAGUCAGCAGCUUGCGCUGAUUACGUCCCUGCCCUUUGUACACACCGCCCGUCGCUACUACCGAUUGAAUGAUUUAGUGAGUACCAGGGACCGAGCGCUUUGGUUGGGUUUCCUUCCCUAGCGCUUGGGAACUGUCGCAAACUUGACCAUUUAGAGGAAGUAAAAGUCGUAACA
rnacentral:rRNA from 1 species